GGCGGGCCCCCCCGCAUUGCGGUGUGGUCAACCUGGUCAGGUCCGGAAGGAAGCAGCCACAGCCAUUUCCCGUGAGUGCCGGGGUCCCGGCUCGCCCAA
rnacentral:SRP_RNA from 1 species